CCUACGGGAGGCAGCAGUGGGGAAUUUUGCGCAAUGGGGGAAACCCUGACGCAGCAAUGCCGCGUGGAGGACGAAGGUCUUCAGAUUGUAAACUCCUUUUGCCGGUGAAAAAUCGCCGUGUGAAUAACACGGACUGAUGGUAACCGGUGAAUCAGCCACGGCUAACUUCGUGCCAGCAGCCGCGGUAAU
rnacentral:rRNA from 1 species